AUAGCGUAUAUUAAAGUUGUUGCAGUUAAAAAGCUCGUAGUUGAACUUCGAACCUGGUUGGGUGGUCUGCCUUCAUGGUAUGUACUGCUUGGCGGGGUUCUACCUCUUGGUGAGCCAGCAUGUCCUUUACUGGGUGUGUUGGGGAACCAGGACUUUUACCUUGAGAAAAUUAGAGUGUUCAAAGCAGGCCUUUGCCCGAAUACAUUAGCAUGGCAUAAUAAAAUAGGACGUGCGGUUCUAUUUUGUUGGUUUCUAGAGUCGCCGUAAUGAUUAAUAGGGAUAGUUGGGGGCAUUUGUAUUCCGUUGCUAGAGGUGAAAUUCUUGGAUUUACGGAAGACAAACUUCUG
rnacentral:rRNA from 1 species